AGCCAGUGAUGAACUUUUAAUUUUCUGACACCUCGUAUGAAAACUGCUUGCAGUUGGUGAUUUUACACAUGUUCUGAGGCUU
ensembl:snoRNA